AGCUGGCUGGUUCCAUGAAGUGACUUCUGCCCAGUGCUCUGAUUGUCAAUCCGAAGAGAUUCAGGCAAGCGCGGGUAAACGGCGGGAGUAACUAUGACUCUCUUAAGGUAGCCAAAUGCCUCGUCAACCAAUUAUUGACGCGCAUGAAUGGAUCAACGAGAUUCCUGCUGUCCCUAGUCGCUGUCUGGUGAACCAACAACCAAGGGAACGGGCUUGGAUGUGUCAGCGGGGAAAGAAGACCCUGUUGAGUUUGACUCUAGUUUGAUGCUGUGCAACGACAUGGGGGGUGUAGCACAGGUGGGAGGCAAGUGCCAUUCCACUGCUGCAUUGGGGGAGCCUCUGAACCAGCCCCCCACUGAGUCUCUGUGGUCACCCCUGCGCCCUGUCCUGGAGGGGAGGACCCAGCUCAGCCCAGUGUGCAAGGAGCGCCUUGGUCCCAGCCCUGACCAGAGGGCCCACUGACCCUGGGCCCUGGCCAUCCAGUGUGGAUCCCAAGCAGUGCACCCUUUUGCCAUGCCUGUGAAAUAGAGUGCCAAUGGUGCAAGCCAACAGUGAAAUACCACUACCUUCACCGUCGUUUUACUCAUUGAGUUGUCUGGGAACGGUGGCCACCUUAUGGCUGAUGCAUGUUUACAUGUGUCUUGGCCUGACCGCUUCGUGCACCAAGUGUGGGUUCUUCCCACACAACCCUGGAUGCCACAAUCCCAAAUCAGAAGCCUCAGGACACUGAUCAGUUGGGGAGUUUGGCUGGGGCGGCACGCCUGUUACAUCACAACGCAGGCGUCCUGAAGCAUUGCUCAGAUGGAACAGAAAUCCCUCACUGAGGAGAAGGCCAAAGGUGCUGCUGAUGCUGUGACCUUCAGUACAGGUCCAAAACGUGCAAGUGUGGCCUAGCGAUCCUUUGGUCAAGUAUGCGGGUUUGGGAUAUCAAAGCCAGAGGUGUCAGAAAAAUUACCACAGGGAUAACUGGCUUGUGGCAGCCAAGCGUUCAAAGCGACGUUGCUUUUUGAUCCUUCGAUGUCGGCUCUUCCUAGCUUCCCACUCGCAGCAGGGUGGAAGAGUUGGAUUGUUCACCCACCAAC
rnacentral:rRNA from 1 species